AUUCAGCUAGGAGCAUCUGCACCCCUUUGUGGCAGCAGCUGUUUCGUUAUCACCGCUGAGCUCUUCAUGUGGUGCAGAGCCAGCCCAGGGAGGCGUCUCCUGCUCGCCUCUCUCGCUGUGGACCCAGAACCUGAGUGUCCAGCUGGGUAUCUCUGGCUCUGAAAAGGGGCUUGGAGCAGCCUGCAGGGACAGGGUUGUUUUACCAGACAGGGAAGACACAGCUGGAGGUGCAGCAGCAGUGCCACGGUGCCUUCUUGUAACAUGCUGGGCCAAGCCGCCUCCAGCCACAGCUCCCAUGGGACGUUGGAUAGAGCACAGAGCAGAUCCCCCUGCAUCACCACGGGCUGGGGGGCUCAGCAGUGACACCAGCACAGGCAGAUGUCUCCUCCCAGGCCUGUGCUGUCACCUGUGAACGUGAUGACCAGAAAGCAUCUCAGGCCUCUUUGGACCCCAGACCACAGGCAGGUGCUCCUGGGAGUGUCCAAAGGGACUGCAGGCCACAGCAACCUCUUACACAAAAAUCAUUGCUUUGGGAAGUGUUAUAAAAUUAAAUAUGUA